UACGGGGGGAGCAAGCGUUGUUCGGAUUUACUGGGCGUAAAGGGCGGGUAGGCGGCCACCGCAAGUCAGUUGUGAAAUCUCUGGGCUUAACCCAGAAAGGUCAACUGAUACUGCGGGGCUAGAGUGCAGAAGGGGCAACUGGAAUUCUCGGUGUAGCGGUGAAAUGCGCAGAUAUCAGGAGGAACACCGGUGGCGAAGGCGGGUCUCUGGGCCGUAACUGACGCUGAGGAGCGAAAGCGUGGGGGAGCGAACAGG
rnacentral:rRNA from 1 species